UACAGAGGGAGCGAGCGUUAUCCGGAAUGAUUGGGCGUAAAGCGUCUGUAGGUGGUUUAGAAAGUCUACUGUCAAAUACCAAGGCUCAACCUUGGGCAGGCAGUAGAGUACUUUUAGACUAGAGUGUGGUAGAGGUAGAGGGAAUCCCUAGCGUAACAGUGAAAUGUGUAGAUUUUAGGGAGAACACCAGCGGCGAAGGCGCUCUACUGGGCCAAGACUGACACUGAGAGACGAAAGCUAGGGGAGCGAAUAGG
rnacentral:rRNA from 1 species